CCCGUCAACUGCUGGAACAAGAAGACGCCGAGCGCCGCGAGCAGUAUUCGCCGCAUGGAAGGGGUCGGCGACAGGAUGAGCUCUCUCCACACCUGCUUCUCCUCGCCGCCUCUCUUCCUGGGCACGACGACCACGUCGCCAUCGAGGUCCUCUGGGAUGCCGGCGGCGGUCUUGAUGUCAGCGAGGCGCUCCUCGGCCUCCUCCGGCGUGUCGGUGAUCUUCUCCAGCACGACCCUCGCGUCCGCGAGGCGGCCUUUCAUGACGAGCCACCGGGGAGACUCCGGCAUGCCGGACACCAAGAGGGCGAGCAGGACGGACGGCACCGCGCCGAUGCCGAGCAUGAAGCGCCAGCCGAGGUGGAGCGGCAGGCGAGCGAAGGCGUAG
rnacentral:rRNA from 1 species